rnacentral:rRNA from 1 species
AUUGAACGCUGGCGGCAUGCUUUACACAUGCAAGUCGAACGGCAGCGCGGGCUUCGGCCUGGCGACGAGUGGCGAACGGGUGUGUAAUGCAUCGGAACGUGCCCACUAGUGGGGGAUAGCCCGGCGAAAGCCGGAUUAAUACCGCAUACGACCUGAGGGUGCAAGCGGGGGAUCUUAAGGCCUCGCGCUAUUAGAGCGGCCGAUGUUGCUUUAGUUUGUUGGUGGGGGAAAGGCUUCCCAAGGCGACGAUCCGUAGCUGGUCUGGGAGGAGGACUAGCCACACUGGGACUGAGACACGGCCCAGACUCCUACGGGAGGCAGCAGUGGGGAAUUUUGGACAAUGGGGGCAACCCUGAUCCAGCCAUGCCGCGUGCGGGAAGAAGGCCUUCGGGUUGUAAACCGCUUUUGUUCGGGAAGAAAACCUAUGAGCUAAUAGCCCGGGGGGAUGACGGUACCGUAAGAAUAAGCACCGGCUAACUACGUG